UACAGAGGGGGCAAGCGUUAUUCGGAAUUAUUGGGCGUAAAGGGCGCGUAGGCGGCCUGGCAAGUGGAAGGUGAAAUCCCUCGGCUUAACCGAGGAACUGCCCUCCAAACUGCUUGGCUUGAGUCCGGGAGAGGUGAGUGGAAUUCCCAGUGUAGCGGUGAAAUGCGCAGAUAUCGGGAGGAACACCAGUGGCGAAGGCGGCACUCUGGGCCGGAACUGGCGCUGAGGAGCGAAAGCGUGGGUAGCAAACAGG
rnacentral:rRNA from 1 species